UACGAAUGGGGCAAGCGUUGUUCGGAAUCACUGGGCUUAAAGCGUGCGUAGGCGGCCAUGCAAGUCAGAAGUGAAAUCCCCGGGCUUAACCCGGGAAUUGCUUUUGAAACUGCACGGCUCGAAUCCGGGAGAGGUCAGGGGAAUUCCCAGUGUAGAAGUGAAAUUCGCAGAUAUUGGGAGGAACACCAGUGGCGUAGGCGCCUGACUGGACCGGCAUUGACGCUGAGGUACGAAAGCGUGGGGAUCAAACAGG
rnacentral:misc_RNA from 1 species